rnacentral:lncRNA from 1 species
UUUUAUGAUAAAAACUCUCAAAACCAUACUCAAGGGUUCAUUGCCAUUGAACAAGUCUGGAAAGGGUGGGCAGGACCAAGCUCAUGUGCCCACAGGGCUCUCAGCCUUCCUUACCUCUUCGCCGGACUGGGAAGCAGACACGGCCACACCCAUUACUGAUGCAUAGUCUUCCUUCCCCACAGUCCUGGUCUACACGCACUGAUGUCCACUCCCACAGUCCCUGUCUUCUCUGCACUGGUGCUCGCAGGCCUCUGAUGAGAGGAAAGACUCGGUUAAAAGCUCUGAAGUCUUAUAAUCAGAAAAUAAGGUUUUAAUUGCAUUUACAGUAUCAUUCA